rnacentral:rRNA from 1 species
CAGCCGCCUCGGUAAUACCGGCGGCCCGAGUGGCGGUCACUAUUAUUGGGCUUAAAGCGUCCGUAGCCGGGUUGGGAAGUCCUCCGGGAAAUCUGGCCGCUUAACGGUCAGAAUGCCGGAGGAUACUCCCAGCCUAGGGAGCGGGAGAGGCCGAGGGGAUUCCCGGAGGAGGGGGGAAAUCCUAUAAUCCCGGGAGGACCACCUGUGGCGAAGGCGCUCGGCUGGAACGCGUCCGACGGUGAGGGACGAAGGCCAGGGGAGCAAACCGGAUUAGAUACCCGGGUAGUCCUGGCUGUAAACGAUGCGGACUUUGUGUCGGACAAGCUAUGAGCUUGUCCGGUGCCGGAGGGAAACCGUUAAGUCCGCCGCCUGGGGAGUACGGCCGCAAGGCUGAAACUUAAAGGAAUUGGCGGG